GAGAAAUGGCUACCACAUCCAAGGAUGGCAGCAGGCGCGCAAAUUACCCACUCCCAGCUUGGGGAGGUAGUGACGAAAAAUAACAAUGCGGGACUCUAAGAGGCCCCGUAAUUGGAAUGAGUACACCUUAAAUCGUUUAACGAGUAUCAAUUGGAGGGCAAGUCUGGUGCCAGCAGCCGCGGUAAUUCCAGCUCCAAUAGCGUAUAUUAAAGUUGCUGCAGUUAAAAAGCUCGUAGUUGGAUCUGGGGCUUGAGGUCGCUGUCUAUCGUUUCGGUGAUGACGGUGAUGCUCAGCUCUGCUUGCCGGUGACUGUUGCGGUGUUCUUCACUGAGCGCUGUAGCAGCACGGCACGUUUACUUUGAAAAAAUUAGAGUGCUCAAAGCGUGCUUGUCGCUUGAAUAGUGUUGCAUGGAAUAAUGGAAUAGGACCUCGGUUCUAUUUUGUUGGUUUUCGGAGCUUGAGGUAAUGAUUAAGAAGGACGAACGGGGGCAUUCGUAUUGCGGUGUUAGAGGUGAAAUUCUUGGAUCGCCGCAAGACGGACUACUGCGAAAGCAUUUGCCAAGAACGCUUUCAUUAAUUAAGAACGAAAGUCAGAGGUUCGAAGACGAUCAGACACCGUCCUAGUUCUGACCAUAAACGAUGCCGACCAGCGAUCCGUAGUGGUUGCUUUAUGGACCCUACGGGCAGCCUCCGGGAAACCAAAGUAUUUGGGUUCCGGGGGAAGUAUGGUUGCAAAGCUGAAACUUAAAGGAAUUGACGGAAGGGCACACCAGGAGUGGAGCCUGCGGCUUAAUUUGACCCAACACGGGAAAACUCACCCGGUCCGGACACCGUAAGGAUUGACAGACUGAUAGCUCUUUCUUGAUUCGGUGGAUGGUGGUGCAUGGCCGUUCUUAGUUGGGGAGUGAUUUGUCUGGUUAAUUCCGAUAACGAACGAGACUCUAGCCUGCUAAGUAGUGUUGCUAUUGUUAUAUGGUUGACACUUCUUAGAGGGACAAGUGGCAUUUAGCCACGCGAAAUUGAGCAAUAACAGGUCUGUGAUGCCCUUAGAUGUCCGGGGCCGCACGCGCGCUACACUGGAGAAGUCAGCGUGUGUUAUCCAAGUCCGAAAGGACUGGGUAAUCCGUUGAACCUUCUUCGUGCUUGGGACAGUGGCUUGGAACUAUUCCACAUGAACGAGGAAUUCCUAGUAAUUGCAAGUCAUAAGCUUGCGUUGAUUACGUCCCUGCCCUUUGUACACACCGCCCGUCGCUACUACCGAUUGAAUGGUUUAGCAAGGUCCUCGGAUCGUGGCCGUAGGGGCACGCAAGUGUUUCUGCGGUUUGCGAGAAGACGACCAAACUUGAUCAUUUAGAGGAAGUAAAAGUCGUAACAAGGUU
rnacentral:rRNA from 1 species